rnacentral:rRNA from 1 species
AUACGAAGGGGGCUAGCGUUGUGCGGAAUUACUGGGCGUAAAGCGCGCGUAGGCGGACUGAUCAGUUGGGGGUGAAAUCCCAGGGCUUAACCCUGGAACUGCCUCCAAUACUGUCAGUCUUGAGUUCGGGAGAGGUGAGUGGAAUUCCUAGUGUAGAGGUGAAAUUCGUAGAUAUUAGGAAGAACACCAGUGGCGAAGGCGGCUCACUGGCCCGAUACUGACGCUGAGGCGCGAAAGCGUGGGGAGCAAACAGGAUUAGAUACCCUAGUAGUCC